UACGGAGGGGGCUAGCGUUGUCCGCAGUUACUGGGCGUAAAGCGCGCGUAGGCGGGUUGGUAAGUCCGCUGUGAAAGCCCGGAGCUUAACUCCGGAGGGUCGGUGGAUACUGCCAGUCUUGAAGGUGCUAGGGGGAGAUGGAAUUACCGGUGUAGCGGUGAAAUGCGUAGAUAUCGGUAGGAACACCAGUGGCGAAGGCGGUCUCCUGGGGCAUGCUUGACGCUGAGGCGCGAAAGCUGGGGGAGCAAACGGG
rnacentral:rRNA from 1 species